ACCGACCAUUAUUAAUAAGCCUGCAUAAAUCGGCGCUGAGUGGUUGCAAGCGCUGAAGAGGUCCGGAUGAAUUUAACUACUAAGGGACGCCCUUGCGAAUGUUGAAGAUGCUGCGCUGUUUAUUUACCACACACAAACACACCACUAAUUUGAGGGGAUUCGAGCUGCCUGUGGCGCGAAUUCACCUCAAGAUAACAAUGAAGAGUGUACUUGGCCUG